GGUAUAUGGUUAGAACGUUUAC
rnacentral:siRNA from 1 species